CCCAACAAGUUUAAUUUAUUUAAAAAAAAAUAAAUUUUAUACGUUUAGGUUGCGGGGAUCUAGAAAAUCUUACCUUUGGAAGCGAAUCUCGGAAUUACAUAAAUUGAUGGUAGAUAUUCAGACUGCUCAAGCUAAGUUGGGCAGUCAAGACGGAAACAGCCGAGAACACUGAUCAAGGUCCCAAAUGAUUGUUAAGUGAAAUUAAGGACGUAGCAAUAUCUUAUACAGCUGUGAAGUGAGCCUGGCAGUCGCUACUUAUAAUGAUCGUACGUAACAACGCAUCAGCAGUAUUAGAUUUUAUUACUUUAAUUCUUUUUUAUUAAAGGAAUAAAUAAUAAAAUCUAAAUGAUAGUAGCGCCGAAAAUUUAACGGGUCUUAAACAAUCAACCGAUAUCGUGUUGGUUUUAUUAAAAAAAAUUUUUUUAAUAGAAUCUAGGUAGUAGAACAUUCAGUUUAACUGUUAAUUAAAUAGUGUUUCAUUGUUUAUUAGGUUACUGAAGAGAGAAUGCUGACAUGAGUAACGUAAAAAAUUCCUUAUAAUGGAAUUCGCCGAAUACGAAAGGGUUGCAAAUUUGAAAGGUUAAACCGUUUUGUGUAAAUGCGGCCUCUAAGGACUAUAGCAAUAGCUAUGGCUGAUGAGUAAAUHAUAGAAAGUCCAAUAUUUAAAAAAUGGACCAGGAAAAUAAUAUUA
rnacentral:rRNA from 1 species